GACGAACGCUGGCGGCGUGCUUAACACAUGCAAGUCGAACGGUAAGGCCCUUCGGGGUACACAAGUGGCGAACGGGUGAGUAACACGUGGGUGAUCUGCCCUGCACUUCGGGAUAAGCCUGGGAAACUGGGUCUAAUACCGGAUAGGACCACUGCCUGCAUGGGUGGUGGUGGAAAGCUUUUGCGGUGUGGGAUGGGCCCGCGGCCUAUCAGCUUGUUGGUGGGGUGAUGGCCUACCAAGGCGACGACGGGUAGCCGGCCUGAGAGGGUGACCGGCCACACUGGGACUGAGAUACGGCCCAGACUCCUACGGGAGGCAGCAGUGGGGAAUAAUGCACAAUGGGCGCAAGCCUGAUGCAGCGACGCCGCGUGAGGGAUGACGGCCUUCGGGUUGUAAACCUCUUUCAGCACCGACGAAGCGCAAGUGACGGUAGGUGCAGAAGAAGGACCGGCCAACUACGUGCCAGCCGCCGCAGUAAUAC
rnacentral:rRNA from 1 species